rnacentral:tRNA from 1 species
GGAGAGGUGACCGAGUGGCCGAAGGUGCUCGCUUGGAAAGCGAGUGUACGGUUACCGCCGUACCGUGGGUUCGAAUCCCACCCUCUCCGCGA